AAGAAAAAAAAAAAAUACGUAAUGGUGUCUUGCUAGAUUGGUAUCUAAUUCAUUCUAUGUGAAUUUUUUGCAACGAGCUAGGUCCGCUAUAACCGAAAAGGCCUUUGAUGCCUGCAAGUGGUACUUGAGGGAAAUCUAUUGCCAAGUACAUGCAUGGUGAUGGUUCUAGCUAUACACGUACAGAAGUGGCAUGGGAUGAUGAACUUAAUUCAAGGACUGAGCCUAGUACGUCAAGCUUGGGGUUCAAAUCAUCAAGCUCGUAAACCUCAUUUUCUUGAUCCAAGAGGUACACACCAGCAGUGAUGUACAUUCUUAUAGUGAGCACUGAUCGACAUUGGCCUGGGCUGCUUGAUGUUUAAUAUAUUAGGUUCCUGAAUGAAAAAACCUCCUGGCUAUGAAGUGAUGAUAUGAGAAAAUGUUAUUGAUCAAUAGUCACUGUUUAUACUUUUCCCAAACUCUAUGAGUUAUUAGUAUAUAGUAUAUAGAGAAGCGUAGUUCGGUCGAUGUUUCUUAAUUAUUCUCAACCUAUCUAUAUACUCUUGUAAUUUACAUUUUCUAAUCAAUGAAAUUAAUAGUCACAAUUUAGCCCGCUCCAUCUUGUUUAUGCGAUUUAUUGCUUUUCCUUUAAUUCCUGCAUUUCGAUUUCAAUAAACUUGCUCGAUAGCUUUCAAAUAAGAAGGGGAUCAAACAAUUUCAAAUAGUAUUAUCUCCUCGUCAUGCUACUCUCUGAGUCUCAAUAGUGCGUUGAGGUUCGUGGGCAAUUUACAGCAAUGUAGAUAGGGCUGGGCACGGGACGGGAUGGGCCGGGAUUUGGUGAAUCAUGUCCCGUUCUGAAAAUAAAAAAACGGGACGGGACGGGACGGGAAUGCGUUUUUAGAAAUCUGUCCCGUACGUCCCAAUCCCGUUUGGAACCGGGACGGGAUCGAGAUCCCGAAAAAUUAACCCUAAAAAAAAACCUGAAAAUAAUCAAAAUAUCUAUCUCUAAAUUAUUAUCUUUCUCAUCUUUGUCAUCAAUUUCGGCAUAGAAGAAGUGGGAGAAGGAGGAGGAGAAGUGGGAGAAGAUGAAGAUGGGGGCUUUGCGGUAGGAGCCGAAGAGGUUGUCGCUGGAGUGGGAAUCAUCGUCGUCUCCAUAGAAGAAGUCGUCGUCGAGGGUUCAGACGCGGGUGAGGUGGAGGAAGCUGCGGUGGUGGAGAGAUCGAGGCGGGAGAGGAGGAGGAGUCUGCGGGGGUGGGGGAAGAUCGGGAGGCGGCGAGGUCAAGGCGGGAGAGGAGGAGGAGUCUGCGGGGGUGGGGGAAUAUCGAGUGGCGACAAGGUCGAGGCGGGAGAGGAGGGACUUGAGGGAGGGGUCGCGGUCGAUGAAGGCGGUGAGGAGGUGGGUGCCAUUUUUGACGACGGUGCGGAAGGAGAAGAUGAGGAGGGAGAGGAAAAGGAAGGUGAGGAGGUUGGAGGCGGAGAAGGAGAAGGCUUGCCGGAGGAGCUGCGGCGUCGGUUUGAGGUGGUGGAGACGCGGGUGGUGGUGGUGGUCGCUCAUUUCUUUACCGGUGAAACAUUUUUUUUUUUUGGUUUGAGGGGUUUCUGUUUGUUUUUUUGUUUUGUUUUUGGGUGGAUCUGCGUGGGAGAGAAGAGAAGAGCAUGUGUGUGUUGCAGUGGGGGGGAUGGUUUUGUAUAUAAAAUGAUUAAAAUUAGGUGUUCUAAUAUUACGGGACGGGACAUAAUUUUUCGGGAUAGUCCCGAUCCCGUCCCAUCCCGUUUCAACACUACCAUAACGGGACGGGACGGGACGGGAUUGCCAUUUUCAAAACCUAUCCCGUCCCGUCCCGCUAACUUUCGGGACAGGACCGAUACGGGAUCGGAAUUCCGGUACUAAGUGCCCAGCCCUAAAUGUAGGGCAACCAGAUGGAUCACUCCUUGAAUUCAUAUAUAGUUGAUUGAUGAUGAGAAAUCUUUUAAUUUGUAGCUAGGUCAGACGUCACUUUCUCAUUCACGAUCGAGUAAGAUGAAACCAAUUUACCAAUCCACAUUUGAAGCUAGUUUGUCUUUAAACACAGAUUAAAAAAGGCAACGAAUAUAUCUAACUACAAAGGACACAAGCUAGGGUUCGAUUUUAAUUAUUUGAUAAACAUAAUAAUAACAAAUAAAAUGGUACGUACGUACUCUCAUUCUACGAUAGGAUCUCGAUCGAGGUAACAUAUUGUCGUUUGAGGAAGAAUAAUUAAGCUAAUAAUCCAGCACUCCAAUCUAAGCCAUUAAAAAUACUCCAAUAUAUAUGUAGCAUGAUACAAACAAAAACAUCAACACAAAAUACAUGUAUCAGACGUGGAAUGAUAAUAUUCCACGUUCAAUUAUAUGUAAGUAUUAGGCUCAUAUAUUCAAAAGGCACAGAUGUGGCCUCAUCAUGCAUGCACCAGUUCUACCGUCUUAUAGCGCUUAAUUAUCUUUUGG
rnacentral:lncRNA from 1 species